UGCUCCAAAUCCAUAAAAUAUCAAAAACUCCCUUCUUCAUGGGUUCAAAACCCUAAUCGCCAAAUUCAUGAAACUACUAUAUAAACUGAAGCUGUAAGGGUUUAUACCACAUCCAGAGAUCCACAAUAUUCCAACGAUACGAAGUCAUUCAUCUGCAUCUACAGUUCUACACUGAACACUUGACGUUAUUCUAAAAGCAAUGACAUCAAAAAAACAAACAGAUUUCAGUAUAGCAAUGACAUCAAGCAAAUUUUCAAGAAGAGAGUCGGUUCUCUAGAACGGCGGAUUAUGUGCAUAUUUUGUCUUUUGGUUGGUUAAAGCGUGAAGAUAGUUUUAAUUUGUUAAGUUGGUUUGAUUGGUGCAUUUCUCCUAAUAUUGUUUAUACUUUGUAAUGGUUUCUAACGCCUUGCUAGCUCGUUAAUAAUAUCUCUGUUGUUCAAAAAAAAAGCUAGAAGGCUUUAAUUAGAAAACAAAUAUUUAAGAUGAUUGUUAAUAAUUAUUAAUAAUUGGAACAAUUGUAAUA